rnacentral:rRNA from 1 species
AACGAACGCUGGCGGCAUGCCUAACACAUGCAAGUCGAACGAGACCUUCGGGUCUAGUGGCGCACGGGUGCGUAACGCGUGGGAACCUGCCCUUAGGUUCGGAAUAACUCCCCGAAAGGGGUGCUAAUACCGGAUAAUGUCUUCGGACCAAAGAUUUAUCGCCUUUGGAUGGGCCCGCGUUGGAUUAGCUAGUUGGUAGGGUAAAAGCCUACCAAGGCGUCGAUCCAUAGCUGGUCUGAGAGGAUGAUCAGCCACACUGGGACUGAGACACGGCCCAGACUCCUACGGGAGGCAGCAGCGGGGAAUAUUGGACAAUGGGCGAAAGCCUGAUCCAGCAAUGCCGCGUGAGUGAUGAAGGCCUUAGGGUUGUAAAGCUCUUUUACCCGGGAUGAUAAUGACAGUACCGGGAGAAUAAGCUCCGGCUAACUCCGUG